ensembl:lncRNA
UCUAAACCAGGACUAAACCAGGACUAAACCAGGACUAAACCAGGACUAAACCAGGUCUAAACCAGGACUAAACCAGGACUAAACCAGGACUGAACCAGGACUAAACCAGGUCUAAACCAGGACUAAACCAGGACUAAACCAGGACUAAACCAGGACUGAACCAGGACUAAACCAGGUCUAAACCAGGACUAAACCAGGACUAAACCAGGACUAAACCAGGUCUAAACCAGGACUAAACCAGGACUAAACCAGGUCUAAACCAGGACUAAACCAGGACUAAACCAGGACUAAACCAAGACUAAACCAGGACUAAACCAAGACUAAACCAGGACUAAACCAGGUCUAAACCAGGACUAAACCAGGUCUAAACCAGGUCUAAACCAGGACUAAACCAGGAAUAAACCAGGACUAAACCAGGACUAAACCAGGACUAAACCAGGACUAAACCAAGACUAAACCAGGACAAAACCAGGACUAAACCAGGACUAAACCAAGACUAAACCAGGACUAAACCAGGACUAAACCAGGACUAAACCAGGUCUAAAACAGGACUAAACCAGGACUAAACCAAGACUAAACCAGGACUAAACCAGGUCUAAACCAGGACUAAACCAGGUCUAAACCAGGUCUAAACCAGGACUAAACCAGGACUAAAACAGGACUAAACCAGGACUAAACCAUGUCUAAACCAGG